rnacentral:tRNA from 5 species
GGCGGCAUGGCCAAGUGGUAAGGCAGGGGACUGCAAAUCCUUUAUCCCCAGUUCGAAUCUGGGUGUCGCCUGAUCAACAAA